GAUGAACGCUGGCGGCGUGCCUAAUACAUGCAAGUCGAGCGGCAGCACGGUCUUCGGACUGGUGGCGAGCGGCGGACGGCUGAGUAACGCGUAGGAACGUACCCCAAAGUGAGGGAUAACUGCUCGAAAGAGUAGCUAAUACCGCAUGUGAUCUACGGAUUAAAGCUUCGGCGCUUUGGGAACGGCCUGCGUCUGAUUAGCUAGUUGGUGAGGUAAAAGCUCACCAAGGCGACGAUCAGUAGCUGGUCUGAGAGGAUGAUCAGCCAGACUGGGACUGAGACACGGCCCAGACUCCUACGGGAGGCAGCAGUAGGGAAUUUUCCACAAUGGGCGAAAGCCUGAUGGAGCAACGCCGCGUGCAGGAUGAAUGCCUUCGGGUUGUAAACUGCUUUUAUAUGUGACGAUUAUGACGGUAGCAUAUGAAUAAGGAUCGGCUAACUCCGUGCCAGCAGCCGCGGUAA
rnacentral:rRNA from 1 species